UUAGUCCAUUUUCUCACGUGAAAAUGUUGAUUUUUAAGUUAUUGUAAUCCAUUUCACAACAAAAAAUAAAUAAGAUGAACUAGUGAGUUUCUUGGGGAGAAUUAUAUAUCUCCAGCAACACAUCAUUUUGACCAUAUCUCUGUUUUCUUACUUUCAUUGCAGAAACACACAACUUUGGACUCUCAGGCAGAAGAAAACUUGACUGCACUCAGGUUGAGUUGUUAAAUGAAAGAGUGUUCAGACUGUUUGCUUCAGAAUCUUGCCUCACUAUUGCUACUCCAACGUAUCCAGAAAUUGAAAGCCUGCUGCCACACACUGCCUGGGUGAUUGGAGAAGAGAAAAGCUAUGCAACCAAGGUUUGCUAUUGCUGUGUCUGCUUGUAGAAGAACAAUUUGCAGCAGUGAACUCCUCAUGGUUUCUUCCUCUCUGUUCAAUCCACAGCACCAU